rnacentral:tRNA from 1 species
GAAAAGGUGACUGAGCGGUUGAAAGUGUUGGUUUGCUAAACCAAAACAUAUAUUUAUAUGUCAUGGGUUCGAAUCCCAUCCUUUUCA